UUGAACGCUGGCGGCAGGCGUAACACAUGCAAGUCGAACGGUAGCGCACAGAAGCUUGCUUCUUGGGUGACGAGUGGCGGACGGGUGAGUAAUGUCUGGGGAUCUGCCCGAUGGAGGGGGAUAACCACUGGAAACGGUGGCUAAUACCGCAUAACGUCGCAAGACCAAAGAGGGGGACCUUCGGGCCUCUCACUAUCGGAUGAACCCAGAUGGGAUUAGCUAGUAGGUGGGGUAAUGGCUCACCUAGGCGACGAUCCCUAGCUGGUCUGAGAGGAUGACCAGCCACACUGGAACUGAGACACGGUCCAGACUCCUACGGGAGGCAGCAGUGGGGAAUAUUGCACAAUGGGCGCAAGCCUGAUGCAGCCAUGCCGCGUGUAUGAAGAAGGCCUUCGGGUUGUAAAGUACUUUCAGCGGGGAGGAAGGCGUGGAGGUUAAUAACCUUGUUCAUUGACGUUACCCGCAGAAGAAGCACCGGCUAACUCCGUGCCAGCAGCCGCGGUAAUACGGAGGGUGCAAGCGUUAAUCGGAAUUACUGGGCGUAAAGCGCACGCAGGCGGUCUGUUAAGUCAGAUGUGAAAUCCCCGGGCUCAACCUGGGAACUGCAUUUGAAACUGGCAGGCUUGAGUCUUGUAGAGGGGGGUAGAAUUCCAGGUGUAGCGGUGAAAUGCGUAGAGAUCUGGAGGAAUACCGGUGGCGAAGGCGGCCCCCUGGACAAAGACUGACGCUCAGGUGCGAAAGCGUGGGGAGCAAACAGGAUUAGAUACCCUGGUAGUCCACGCCGUAAACGAUGUCGACUUGGAGGUUGUUCCCUUGACGAGUGGCUUCCGGAGCUAACGCGUUAAGUCGACCGCCUGGGGAGUACGGCCGCAAGGUUAAAACUCAAAUGAAUUGACGGGGGCCCGCACAAGCGGUGGAGCAUGUGGUUUAAUUCGAUGCAACGCGAAGAACCUUACCUGCUCUUGACAUCCACCGAACAUCGCAGAGAUGCGUUGGUGCCUUCGGGAACGCUGAGACAGGUGCUGCAUGGCUGUCGUCAGCUCGUGUUGUGAAAUGUUGGGUUAAGUCCCGCAACGAGCGCAACCCUUAUCCUUUGUUGCCAGCGAUUCGGUCGGGAACUCAAAGGAGACUGCCGGUGAUAAACCGGAGGAAGGUGGGGGAUGACGUCAAGUCAUCAUGGCCCUUACGACUAGGGCUACACACGUGCUACAAUGGCGCAUACAAAGAGAAGCGACCUCGCGAGAGCAAGCGGACCUCACAAAGUGCGUCGUAGUCCGGAUCGGAGUCUGCAACUCGACUCCGUGAAGUCGGAAUCGCUAGUAAUCGUGGGAUCAGAAUGCCACGGGUGAAUACGUUCCCGGGGCCUUGUACACACCGCCCGUCACCCCAUGGGGAGUGGGGUUGCAAAAAAAAGUAGGUAGCUUAACCUUCGGGGAGGGCGCUUACCACUUUUGUGAUUCAUGACUGGGG
rnacentral:rRNA from 1 species